GCGAGUGAUGCAUAAAGCCUGCGAGGAAGUACCCAUGAGGUAGGUUGGUGUUGUACAAUUUAUGUAAGAAUAAAGUACUACUUUUGAUCACCAAUCUGAAGACCAAACUACUCAUUUGGCCAGUGUGUUAAGUUAUAUCCGGAUCAGAACUGUGUCAUGCAGGUCAAUUCAAGGUGUUGGUGAAGACUUUUAAAGCCUUGAAUUGUUUGGAUCCAGGAUACUUGAAGGACAUCUAUCUCCAUAGAAGUCUGCCUGCCCACUGAGGUUAUCUGCAGAGGACCUUCUCUGUGGCACAUUAAUCAUCAGAUGUAGUCACUGGAAAAGAUAAUGAAAAAAUUGUGUUGCCAAGCUAAAGUUUAUAGUUAUUCACCUUAAAUAUUAACCUGAAUUAAAUUGUUUGUAUUUUGUUGUGAAUCACUGUAGGUACCCUCUGAAUGGAACUACAUGUUUUAAGGCAAAUAAAUAUGGU